GAUGAACGCUGGCGGCGUGCCUAAUACAUGCAAGUCGAGCGAACAGACGAGGAGCUUGCUCCUCUGACGUUAGCGGCGGACGGGUGAGUAACACGUGGAUAACCUACCUAUAAGACUGGGAUAACUUCGGGAAACCGGAGCUAAUACCGGAUAAUAUAUUGAACCGCAUGGUUCAAUAGUGAAAGACGGUUUUGCUGUCACUUAUAGAUGGAUCCGCGCCGCAUUAGCUAGUUGGUAAGGUAACGGCUUACCAAGGCAACGAUGCGUAGCCGACCUGAGAGGGUGAUCGGCCACACUGGAACUGAGACACGGUCCAGACGCCUACGGGAGGCAGCAGUAGGGAAUCUUCCGCAAUGGGCGAAAGCAUGACGGAGCAACGCCGCGUGAGUGAUGAAGGUCUUCGGAUCGUAAAACUCUGUUAUUAGGGAAGAACAAAUGUGUAAGUAACUAUGCACGUCUUGACGGUACCUAAUCAGAAAGCCACGGCUAACUACGUG
rnacentral:rRNA from 1 species